rnacentral:rRNA from 1 species
UUUGAGUCGUUAAACGACUGCCAGUGAAUUGUAAUACGACUCACUAUAGGGCGAAUUGAAUUUAGCGGCCGCGAAUUCGCCCUUAGAGUUUGAUCAUGGCUCAGGACGAACGCUGGCGGCGUGCCUAAUACAUGCAAGUCGAGCGGAAAUUUUAUUGGUGCUUGCGCCUUUAAAAUUUUAGCGGCGGACGGGUGAGUAACACGUGGGUAACCUACCUUAUAGAUUGGGAUAACUCCGGGAAACCGGGGCUAAUACCGAAUAAUACUUUUAAACACAUGUUUGAAAGUUGAAAGACGGUUUCGGCUGUCACUAUAAGAUGGACCCGCGGCGCAUUAGCUAGUUGGUGAGGUAACGGCUCACCAAGGCAACGAUGCGUAGCCGACCUGAGAGGGUGAUCGGCCACACUGGGACUGAGACACGGCCCAGACUCCUACGGGAGGCAGCAGUAGGGAAUCUUCCACAAUGGACGAAAGUCUGAUGGAGCAACGCCGCGUGAGUGAAGAAGGAUUUCGGUUCGUAAAACUCUGUUGCAAGGGAAGAACAAGUAGCGUAGUAACUGGCGCUACCUUGACGGUACCUUGUUAGAAAACCACGGCUAACUACGUGCCAGCAGCCGCGGUAAUACGUAAGUGGCAAGCGUUGUCCGGAAUAUUGGGCGUAAAGCGCGCGCAGGUGGUUCCUUAAGUCUGAUGUGAAAGCCCCCGGCUCAACCGGGAGGGUCAUUGGAAACUGGGGAACUU